GUGAUCUUUAGUAAAUAAACAUGAACUUGUAGACCAUGCAUAGUGUGUAGAUCAUACCAAAGAUAAAAUAGAAUAGAAAGAAAAAGCUUGGUGUAGGAUGGGAAAAAAUCUUGCUGGAUCUGCAUGGUUGAUGUCUCGCAUUGAUUUAUGACAGAGAAUUCAGAAAUACCUUGAAGUACAAAAAAGAAAAAAAAUGUAUAUCAGAAGGUGACAGAUGUUUGAGAAUUGUUUGUACACUUUGAUAAACAAUAAUACACAGCAAUAAACAAUAAUAAACAGUGUUAGAUAGACAUCUUACAGAUGUGGAUUAAAAAAUAUCAAGAAGUGGAAGGAUUUAAUAUGUACUUUUUGUCCUCAGUCUGUCCUCAAUCUCAACUUCUGUGAUCUGAUGUUCAUAUGCUCCCAGCCUCAAGUAGAGGAGGUUGUGGGUUUGAUUCCUGGCCAAUUCGAAAACAAAUAUACUUUUUUUGCUGCUUCUCCACUUAGCAUGUACAUG
rnacentral:lncRNA from 1 species